rnacentral:piRNA from 1 species
UCUAGUGGAUUUAGAGAAGUGUAUCUGGUG